GAUGAACGCUGGCGGCGUGCUUAACACAUGCAAGUCGAACGAUGAAGCUCAGCUUGCUGGGUGGAUUAGUGGCGAACGGGUGAGUAACACGUGAGUAACCUGCCCUUAACUCUGGGAUAAGCCUGGGAAACUAGGUCUAAUACCGGAUAGGAGCGCCUACCGCAUGGUGGGUGUUGGAAAGAUUUAUCGGUUUUGGAUGGACUCGCGGCCUAUCAGCUUGUUGGUGGGGUAAUGGCUCACCAAGGCGACGACGGGUAGCCGGCCUGAGAGGGUGACCGGCCACACGGGGACUGAGAGACGGCCCAGACUCCUACGGGAGGCAGCAGGGGGGAAUAUUGCACAAUGGGCGAAAGCCUGAUGCAGCGACGCCGCGUGAGGGAUGACGGCCUUCGGGGUGUAAACCUCUUUCAGUAGGGAAGAAGCGAAAGUGACGGUACCUGCAGAAGAAGCACCGGCUAACUACGUG
rnacentral:rRNA from 1 species